ACGCAAAAGCACAAAAUAUCUAUUCUAACACACCAAAUUAUUUAAAAAAUGCUAAUAUUGGGUGGCAACUAAAUAAUGGGACAGUAUCAAGUCACGAGUUAAAAAUGAUACCAGAUAAGACAAGUUGGCUACAAAAACAAUUAAUAAACAAUGUUGCCAGGGGUGACAGACACAUUUGUUUAUUUUGAAAUUGCUUCGCUGUCAGUUUGGGUAACUCAAACACUUCUUUAUUAAUUAAAAUGGUGCGUGGUAUCUCGACAAAUUCAAAAAUUCGCGAGUUGGUGGUUAAAAAUUAUUCCCGAAACAAAAGAAUACGUGAAGUGGCGGAUGAACUAAAUAUUCCUAAAAGUACUGUGUUUAAUAUAAUAAAGCAUUAUGGGGAAACUGGAGGAAUUUUACAUAAGAAAAGGAAUAGCCCAGGUCGCCCAAAAUUAGUUUCUGAUAGGGAUAAAAGAAUGCUUGUUAAAUUAUGCAAAAAAGGUCGAAGAAAUACAGUACGGCAGGUAACGUCAGAAUGGAAUCAUGAAACUGGGCAUAAUUUGUCAAGAGAAUGUUGUCGCAAGUGGAUUCAUAAAUGCGGAUUGAAGUUUUACAAGGCAAAGGAAAAACCGCUUUUAACAGCAAAACAAAAGAAAGCCAGGCUGCAAAAUCUAAAUUGUCCUGGUCAGUAGAAGAUUGGUCCCGCGUAAUUUUUAGCGAUGAAUCAAAAUUCGACGUAUGUGUUGGUGAUUACCGAAAACGUGUGAUUCGCACAAAAAAUGAUGCUUUCCAUAAGGACUGUUUAAAACGUACAGUAAAGUUUCCUAAAGGAAUCAUGAUUUGGGGUUGCAUGACACUUGGAGGAUUAGGGUGUUUUGAGUUUAUAAAGGGCACCGUAAAUGCUGCAAAAUACCAACAAAUUCUACAAAAUAGCCUACUUCCAAGUAUCGCGAAAUUAACAGUUAAUGAAAAUUACAUAUUUCAGCAGGAUGGGGCUGCAUGUCAUACGGCCAAAACUACAAAAAAGUGGUUUGGGGACCACCACAUAAACUGCCUUUCUUGGCCUUCUAACAGCCCAGACCUUAAUGUCAUUGAAAGAGUAUGGCAUAAAAUGAAACAGACAUUAAGGAACAACCCUCAAAAAACAUUGCCAGAACUUAAGGCCAAAAUAGAGCAGAUUUGGAAUGAAUUUACCCCCGAACAGUGUAAGGCCUUAGUCCAAUCAAUGCCCAAAAGAAUUCAAGCAGUUAUACAAUCUAAGGGCGACGUUACUCCAUUUUAAAAAUUGAAGUUCGCGUUUGUCCCAUUAUUUAGUUGCCACCCAAUAUUAGCAUUUUUUAAAUAAUUUGGUGUGUUAGAAUAGAUAAUUUGUGUUUUUGCGUUCCUAAUGAAUCGAUUUUGUUAUUAAUUAACUGUUUAAACAAUAUGACAUUAAAAAAAGCAAGUUUAGAAAAUAGAAGUAUAUUAAAAAUUAAA